UUUCCGUAGGUGAACCUGCGGAAGGAUCAUUAUGCGCCCCCGGACAUGAUCGGUCAGAACUGCCCCGUUAUGCUUCGGCCAAUCGCCAUCCGUGAGUAGUGGAUAAUUGUUGCUUUGCUGGGCCGCCCCGUGGGCACCGGCUUGCGCUGGCCCGCGCCCGCCAGAGGACACAAAACUCUGUAUGUUAGUGAUGUCUGAGUACUAUAUAAUAGUUAAAACUUUCAACAACGGAUCUCUUGGUUCUG
rnacentral:misc_RNA from 1 species